UACGUAGGGUGCAAGCGUUAAUCGGAAUUACUGGGCGUAAAGCGUGCGCAGGCGGCUUUGCAAGACAGAUGUGAAAUCCCCGGGCUUAACCUGGGAACUGCAUUUGUGACUGCAUGGCUGGAGUGCGGCAGAGGGGGAUGGAAUUCCGCGUGUAGCAGUGAAAUGCGUAGAUAUCAGGAGGAAUACCGAUGGCGAAGGCAGGUCUCUGGGCUAUAACUGACGCUCAUGCACGAAAGCGUGGGGAGCAAACAGG
rnacentral:rRNA from 1 species